UCCUGGUGUGUGCUCUCCUAGUUUCCCAGUCUCCCUGGUGUUGCGCUCCGAGGUUCCCAGUCUGCUCCUGGUGUUGCUCUCCGCAGGUUCCCAGUCUGUCUCCUGGUGUUGCUCUAUGUAGGUUCCCAGUCUGUCUCCUGGUGUUGCUCUCCGUAGGUUCCCAGUCUGUCCUCGGUGUUGCUCGCCAUCUGUCUCCUGGUGUUGCCUCCGU
rnacentral:lncRNA from 1 species